rnacentral:rRNA from 1 species
GAAUGUCAAGUCAGCAUGACCUUUAUAUCCAGGCUACACACACGCUACAAUGGUCUGUACAAUGGGUAGCCAAGCCGCGAGGCGGAGCCAAUCCUGAAAGCAGGCCUCAGUUCAGAUUGCAGUCUGCAACUCGACUGCAUGAAGCCGGAGUUGCUAGUAACCGCAGGUCAGCAAUACUGCGGUGAAUACGUUCUCGGGUCUU